rnacentral:rRNA from 1 species
UCAAGCUGAAAAUUGAAACACUGAACAACGAGAGUUGUUCGUGAGUCUCUCAAAUUUUCGCAACACGAUGAUGAAUCGAAAGAAACAUCUUCGGGUUGUGAGGUUAAGCGACUAAGCGUACACGGUGGAUGCCCUGGCAGUCAGAGGCGAUGAAGGACGUGCUAAUCUGCGAUAAGCGUCGGUAAGGUGAUAUGAACCGUUAUAACCGGCGAUUUCCGAAUGGGGAAACCCAGUGUGAUUCGUCACACUAUCAUUAACUGAAUCCAUAGGUUAAUGAGGCGAACCGGGGGAACUGAAACAUCUAAGUACCCCGAGGAAAAGAAAUCAACCGAGAUUCCCCCAGUAGCGGCGAGCGAACGGGGAGGAGCCCAGAGCCUGAAUCAGUGUGUGUGUUAGUGGAAGCGUCUGG